rnacentral:lncRNA from 1 species
UCUUCCACCACAGGAUUCAGCAAGGAGGUGUUGAGGAAGAACUGCUUCAUCCUCCAGAUUUGAUCGAGUAGGGAGAUAUCCUCCACAACUGGAUCUAAGAAGAAAUGAUUGUUGAUGAGCAGGUUUAGCUGGAGCCUGUUAAUCUUCAAAUUGUCGGUACCUUUGUCUUCCACCAUGGGUGUGUGUUGGUCAAAUUCAUAUGUACCUCCUACAACAUGGUUAGUGCAAUGUGGCUCCACAGAAUUAACAUGAAGGGGUAUA